AGAUUGAACGCUGGCGGCAUGCUUUACACAUGCAAGUCGAACGGUAACAGGCCGCAAGGUGCUGACGAGUGGCGAACGGGUGAGUAAUGUAUCGGAACGUGCCCAGUCGUGGGGGAUAACGCAGCGAAAGCUGCGCUAAUACCGCAUACGAUCUAUGGAUGAAAGGCGGGGGACCGUAAGGCCUCGCGCGAUUGGAGCGGCCGAUAUCAGAUUAGGUAGUUGGUGGGGUAAAGGCUCGACCAAGCCAACGAUCUGUAGCUGGUCUGAGAGGACGACCAGCCACACUGGGACUGAGACCACGGCCAGACUACCGUACGGGAGCGAGCGAGGUGGGAAUUUUGGACAAGU
rnacentral:rRNA from 1 species